CUCAACGAUUAGGAAUGUCAAUAUGUCUGACAUUUGAAUCGUAUUGCCGCCAAAAUAUAAAUACAAAUGAACCAAAGACGUUAAAUACAGAUAAAUAGAUAAUAAUAUAAUGUUAUCAACUAUAAUUUCUGAUAAAUAUCAUAUGGCGAAGUCAAUAUCAUUUUCAACUCUUUUUUUAAUCUUUUCCGAAACUCGACAUUGUCCAAGUGAAACCUAACCCGUCGAGCAUUAAAAAUAAAGCAGAUAUCUGUUAAUUUAUUUAAUUUAAAUCUUUACAGAUUCGCCAUUUCCACCGUUCAACAUGAGUCUUGUUUCGAAAUUAAUUGGUAAACGGUUCAUCACUCAGGCAAUCCAAUAUGUUCCUAGCGCAGGUUUUUAUGGCGCUACAGGAUUCACCCUCUUGUGUUACUUUACUGACUGGAAAUUGGUAUUGCAAUACGUGCCAUACUACAACACAAAAUUUCCCAAAGAGGCAGUGGAAGAAUAAUCCAAUAAGUAAUAUGUAAAACAUUAUAGUGUUCUUUAUAUCUGUUAAAAUAAAAACAGUACCUUUGAUAAAUA